rnacentral:rRNA from 1 species
GUGUCAGCAGCCGCGGUAAUACGGAGGAUCCAAGCGUUAUCCGGAUUUAUUGGGUUUAAAGGGUGCGUAGGUGGCCUAUUAAGUCAGGGGUGAAAGACGGUAGCUUAACUAUCGCAGUGCCUUUGAUACUGAUAGGCUUGAAUACACUUGAGGUAGGCGGAAUGUGACAAGUAGCGGUGAAAUGCAUAGAUAUGUCACAGAACACCAAUUGCGAAGGCAGCUUACUAAAGUGUGAUUGACACUGAGGCACGAAAGCGUGGGGAUCAAACAGGAUUAGAUACCCCCGUAGUCC